UACACGUUCCCAUUUGAAUUGUCAGUUCCUUUUUGUUUUCAUUAGAAAACUGCACACACGACCACAUAAGGUGAUAUAUAUGUUCUCAGUUCCUCUUUUGCAGUAAACAUACAAAGAUCAGCUGAAGACAUUCUUAAUCAUGUAAUGAUAUCACAGUCCCAUUUUUCCGGACCACUAAUCACCCAGGUGAGACCAUCGAUGCAAGGGACGUACCAUAGGGAAUCAGGAUGAUGGAUACACACGGUUCAAGUUCUCAAAUGGAGCCAGCUGGGAUUACGGCACACCAUUCAGAGAGACCAGUCCUUAAUCCUCUCUUAAACCACCAUCUGCCACAAGUAAUCAGUCGCCGCUUCCCAAGUCAGUAUUUUGAUUUCAAUGUCCAAUAUGUGGUUUCUGCGCAUGUGGGAAUUUAGAUAUGUAAUGUAACAGUGCUCUGCCAUAACUGAUAAGACGGUGUGUGUUGCCUGCUAAGGUUUUUCUGAUUGUCUUUGUUGAGGAACUUGGUCUUUUAACAUGAACAUACUGUUAGUACUUGCAUCUUCUCCAUUCGUUCACAUUUUAGGGAAGCAAAGAAAUAUGAUUGGCG
rnacentral:sRNA from 1 species